rnacentral:tRNA from 1 species
GCCUCCUUAGCUCAGUUGGCAGAGCGCAUCCAUGGUAAGGAUGAGGUCACCAGUUCGACUCUGGUAGGAGGCUCCA